GCCAGAAUGGCAUAGUGGUUUGAGUGUUGGACUAUGGCUCUGGAGAACAGGAUUCAAAUCCCCGCUCAGUCA
rnacentral:tRNA from 1 species